rnacentral:rRNA from 1 species
GUUAUAGGAUCAAGCGACUAAGUGCACAUGGUGGAUGCCUUGGCGAUUACAGGCGAUGAAGGACGUGGUAGCCUGCGUAAAGCUGCGGGGAGCUGGCAAACAAGCUUUGAUCCGCAGAUGUCCGAAUGGGGCAACCCACACCAGCAAUGGUGUAUCCCACACUGAAUACAUAGGUGUGUGGAAGCGAACCGGGUGAACUGAAACAUCUCAGUAACUCGAGGAAAAGAAAUCAACCGAGAUUCCGAAAGUAGCGGCGAGCGAAAUCGGAACAGCCUUGACGUUUUAGCUUUAUCGAUAGUCGAACGCGAUGGAAAGCGCGGCCGUAGCAGGUGAUAGCCCUGUAGGCGAAAUCGAUUUAGUGGAACUAGGCGUCAGACAAGUAGGGCGGGACACGUGAAAUCCUGUCUGAAGAUGGGGGGACCAUCCUCCAAGGCUAAAUACUCGUAAUCGACCGAUAGUGAACCAGUACCGUGAGGGAAAGGCGAAAAGAACCCCGGAAGGGGAGUGAAAUAGAUCCUGAAACCGUGUGCAUACAAACAGUAGGAGCGGGCUUGUCCCGUGACUGCGUACCUUUUGUAUAAUGGGUCAGCGACUUACAUUCAGUGGCAAGCUUAACCGAAUAGGGAAGGCGCAGCGAAAGCGAGUCCGAAUAGGGCGAUUUUAGUCGCUGGGUGUAGACCCGAAACCAAGCGAUCUAUCCAUGGCCAGGUUGAAGGCACGGUAACACGUGCUGGAGGACCGAACCCACUAAUGUUGAAAAAUUAGGGGAUGAGCUGUGGAUAGGGGUGAAAGGCUAAACAAGCUUGGAAAUAGCUGGUUCUCUCCGAAAACUAUUUAGGUAGUGCCUCACGUAUUACUGCCGGGGGUAGAGCACUGUUAUAGCUAGGGGGUCAUGACGACUUACCAACCUAUGGCAAACUCCGAAUACCGGCAAGUAGCAGCGUGGGAGACAGAGCACCGGGUGCUAACGUCCGGACUCAAGAGGGAAACAACCCAGACCGCCAGCUAAGGUCCCUAACUAUGGCUAAGUGGGAAACGAAGUGGGAAGGCAUUGACAGUCAGGAGGUUGGCUUAGAAGCAGCCAUCCUUUAAAGAAAGCGUAAUAGCUCACUGAUCGAGUCGUCCUGCGCGGAAGAUGUAACGGGGCUAAGCCAUAGACCGAAGCUGCGGAUAGGCAUACUUAUUUAUAGGUAUGCCUGUGGUAGGAGAGCGUUCUGUAAGCCUGCGAAGGCAGAUUGUGAAGUCUGCUGGAGGUAUCAGAAGUGCGAAUGCUGACAUGAGUAGCGAUAAAGGGGGUGAAAAGCCCCCUCGCCGUAAGUCCAAGGUUUCCUGCGCAACGUUCAUCGGCGCAGGGUGAGUCGGCCCCUAAGGCGAGGCAGAGAUGCGUAGCUGAUGGGAAGCUGGUUAAUAUUCCAGCACCGUCGUAGAAUGCGAUGGGGGGACGGAUGGCAGAAGGUCAUCGGGGUGUUGGAUGUCCCCGUUGUUGCACUGUAGAAGGCGCUUAGGCAAAUCCGGGCGCGUAAUUCAAGGGUGUGACUGAAUAGGACUUCGGUCCUAAACUGAUUGGAAGCUGUUCCAAGAAAAGCCUCUAAGCUUCAGUUCUACGAGACCGUACCGCAAACCGACACAGGUGGACGGGAUGAAUAUUCCAAGGCGCUUGAGAGAACUCAGGAGAAGGAACUCGGCAAAUUAAUACCGUAACUUCGGGAGAAGGUAUACCCCGGUAGUGUGAAGGGCUUGCGCCCGGAGCAUGAUGGGGUCGCAGAGAAUCGGUGGCUGCGACUGUUUAUUAAAAACACAGCACUCUGCCAAGACGAAAGUCGACGUAUAGGGUGUGACGCCUGCCCGGUGCCGGAAGGUUAAUUGAUGGAGUGCAAGCUCUUGAUCGAAGCCCCGGUAAACGGCGGCCGUAACUAUAACGGUCCUAAGGUAGCGAAAUUCCUUGUCGGGUAAGUUCCGACCUGCACGAAUGGCGUAACGAUGGCCACACUGUCUCCUCCUGAGACUCAGCGAAGUUGAAGUGGUUGUGAUGAUGCAAUCUACCCGCGGCUAGACGGAAAGACCCCAUGAACCUUUACUGUAGCUUUGCAUUGGACUGUGAACCGGCCUGUGUAGGAUAGGUGGGAGGCGUUGAAGCGUGAUCGCUAGAUUGCGUGGAGCCAACCUUGAAAUACCACCCUGGUUUGUUUGCGGUUCUAACCUUGGCCCGUUAUCCGGGUUGGGGACAGUGCAUGGUGGGCAGUUUGACUGGGGCGGUCUCCUCCUAAAGCGUAACGGAGGAGUUCGAAGGUACGCUAGGUACGGUCGGAAAUCGUGCUGAUAGUGCAAUGGCAUAAGCGUGCUUGACUGUGAGACUGACACGUCGAACAGGUGCGAAAGCAGGACAUAGUGAUCCGGUGGUUCUGAAUGGAAGGGCCAUCGCUCAACGGAUAAAAGGUACUCUGGGGAUAACAGGCUGAUACCGCCCAAGAGUUCAUAUCGACGGCGGUGUUUGGCACCUCGAUGUCGGCUCAUCUCAUCCUGGGGCUGUAGCCGGUCCCAAGGGUAUGGCUGUUCGCCAUUUAAAGAGGUACGUGAGCUGGGUUUAAAACGUCGUGAGACAGUUUGGUCCCUAUCUGCCGUGGGCGUUGGAUACUUGACGGAGCCUGCUCCUAGUACGAGAGGACCGGAGUGGACGUACCGCUGGUGUAUCGGUUGUCAUGCCAAUGGCAUUGCCGAGUAGCUACGUACGGAAGAGAUAACCGCUGAAGGCAUCUAAGCGGGAAACUCGUCUGAAGAUAAGGUAUCCCGGGGGCUAGACCCCCCUGAAGGGUCGUUCGAGACCAGGACGUUGAUAGGUCAGGUGUGUAAGUGCAGUAAUGCACGUAGCUAACUGAUACUAAUUGCCCGUGCGGCUUGAUCCUAUAACCUUGUAGGUUA